rnacentral:rRNA from 1 species
UUAAGCGACUAAGCGUACACGGUGGAUGCCCUGGCAGUCAGAGGCGAUGAAGGACGUGCUAAUCUGCGAUAAGCGUCGGUAAGGUGAUAUGAACCGUUAUAACCGGCGAUUUCCGAAUGGGGAAACCCAGUGUGAUUCGUCACACUAUCAUUAACUGAAUCCAUAGGUUAAUGAGGCGAACCGGGGGAACUGAAACAUCUAAGUACCCCGAGGAAAAGAAAUCAACCGAGAUUCCCCCAGUAGCGGCGAGCGAACGGGGAGCAGCCCAGAGUCUGAAUCAGCUUGUGUGUUAGUGGAAGCGUCUGGAAAGUCGCAGGGUACAGGGUGACACUCCCGUACACUAAAACACACAGGCUGUGAACUCGAAGAGUAGGGCGGGACACGUGGUAUCCUGUCUGAAUAUGGGGGGACCAUCCUCCAAGGCUAAAUACUCCUGACUGACCGAUAGUGAACCAGUACCGUGAGGGAAAGGCGAAAAGAACCCCGGCGAGGGGAGUGAAAAAGAACCUGAAACCGUGUACGUACAAGCAGUGGGAGCACGCUUAGGCGUGUGACUGCGUACCUUUUGUAUAAUGGGUCAGCGACUUAUAUUCUGUAGCAAGGUUAACCGAAUAGGGGAGCCGAAGGGAAACCGAGUCUUAACUGGGCGUUAAGUUGCAGGGUAUAGACCCGAAACCCGGUGAUCUAGCCAUGGGCAGGUUGAAGGUUGGGUAACACUAACUGGAGGACCGAACCGACUAAUGUUGAAAAAUUAGCGGAUGACUUGUGGCUGGGGGUGAAAGGCCAAUCAAACCGGGAGAUAGCUGGUUCUCCCCGAAAGCUAUUUAGGUAGCGCCUCGUGAAUUCAUCUCCGGGGGUAGAGCACUGUUUCGGCAAGGGGGUCAUCCCGACUUACCAACCCGAUGCAAACUGCGAAUACCGGAGAAUGUUAUCACGGGAGACACACGGCGGGUGCUAACGUCCGUCGUGAAGAGGGAAACAACCCAGACCGCCAGCUAAGGUCCCAAAGUCAUGGUUAAGUGGGAAACGAUGUGGGAAGGCCCAGACAGCCAGGAUGUUGGCUUAGAAGCAGCCAUCAUUUAAAGAAAGCGUAAUAGCUCACUGGUCGAGUCGGCCUGCGCGGAAGAUGUAACGGGGCUAAACCAUGCACCGAAGCUGCGGCAGCGACGCUUAUGCGUUGUUGGGUAGGGGAGCGUUCUGUAAGCCUGUGAAGGUGUGCUGUGAGGCAUGCUGGAGGUAUCAGAAGUGCGAAUGCUGACAUAAGUAACGAUAAAGCGGGUGAAAAGCCCGCUCGCCGGAAGACCAAGGGUUCCUGUCCAACGUUAAUCGGGGCAGGGUGAGUCGACCCCUAAGGCGAGGCCGAAAGGCGUAGUCGAUGGGAAACAGGUUAAUAUUCCUGUACUUGGUGUUACUGCGAAGGGGGGACGGAGAAGGCUAUGUUGGCCGGGCGACGGUUGUCCCGGUUUAAGCGUGUAGGCUGGUUUUCCAGGCAAAUCCGGAAAAUCAAGGCUGAGGCGUGAUGACGAGGCACUACGGUGCUGAAGCAACAAAUGCCCUGCUUCCAGGAAAAGCCUCUAAGCAUCAGGUAACAUCAAAUCGUACCCCAAACCGACACAGGUGGUCAGGUAGAGAAUACCAAGGCGCUUGAGAGAACUCGGGUGAAGGAACUAGGCAAAAUGGUGCCGUAACUUCGGGAGAAGGCACGCUGAUAUGUAGGUGAAGUCCCUCGCGGAUGGAGCUGAAAUCAGUCGAAGAUACCAGCUGGCUGCAACUGUUUAUUAAAAACACAGCACUGUGCAAACACGAAAGUGGACGUAUACGGUGUGACGCCUGCCCGGUGCCGGAAGGUUAAUUGAUGGGGUCAGCGCAAGCGAAGCUCUUGAUCGAAGCCCCGGUAAACGGCGGCCGUAACUAUAACGGUCCUAAGGUAGCGAAAUUCCUUGUCGGGUAAGUUCCGACCUGCACGAAUGGCGUAAUGAUGGCCAGGCUGUCUCCACCCGAGACUCAGUGAAAUUGAACUCGCUGUGAAGAUGCAGUGUACCCGCGGCAAGACGGAAAGACCCCGUGAACCUUUACUAUAGCUUGACACUGAACAUUGAGCCUUGAUGUGUAGGAUAGGUGGGAGGCUUUGAAGUGUGGACGCCAGUCUGCAUGGAGCCGACCUUGAAAUACCACCCUUUAAUGUUUGAUGUUCUAACGUUGACCCGUAAUCCGGGUUGCGGACAGUGUCUGGUGGGUAGUUUGACUGGGGCGGUCUCCUCCUAAAGAGUAACGGAGGAGCACGAAGGUUGGCUAAUCCUGGUCGGACAUCAGGAGGUUAGUGCAAUGGCAUAAGCCAGCUUGACUGCGAGCGUGACGGCGCGAGCAGGUGCGAAAGCAGGUCAUAGUGAUCCGGUGGUUCUGAAUGGAAGGGCCAUCGCUCAACGGAUAAAAGGUACUCCGGGGAUAACAGGCUGAUACCGCCCAAGAGUUCAUAUCGACGGCGGUGUUUGGCACCUCGAUGUCGGCUCAUCACAUCCUGGGGCUGAAGUAGGUCCCAAGGGUAUGGCUGUUCGCCAUUUAAAGUGGUACGCGAGCUGGGUUUAGAACGUCGUGAGACAGUUCGGUCCCUAUCUGCCGUGGGCGCUGGAGAACUGAGGGGGGCUGCUCCUAGUACGAGAGGACCGGAGUGGACGCAUCACUGGUGUUCGGGUUGUCAUGCCAAUGGCACUGCCCGGUAGCUAAAUGCGGAAGAGAUAAGUGCUGAAAGCAUCUAAGCACGAAACUUGCCCCGAGAUGAGUUCUCCCUGACUCCUUGAGAGUCCUGAAGGAACGUUGAAGACGACGACGUUGAUAGGCCGGGUGUGUAAGCGCAGCGAUGCGUUGAGCUAACCGGUACUAAUGAACCGUGAGGCUUAACCUU